rnacentral:lncRNA from 1 species
GGCCGGAUCCCGGCUCUCUGAGGGGCGCGGAGACCUGCGGGAGGGACACGGCCGCAGCAUGGCGGCCGGCAGCGCACCGCCCUGCCCUCCGCCUUCCUGUCACAGCCGCUUGGAUCCUGUGGUCCGCGAGUGCUUGCUGUGAGCCUGCCGCGCGUCAGCCCCCCCACCGCCCGCCCGCCCUCCUUCCCUUGUCGCCUCUGCCAGCCCGGAGGGCGGCCGGGCGCACCGCGCCCACCCACCGGGGCCCUGGGACCAUGGAGGACGUGAAACUGGAGUUCCCCUCGCUCCCGCAGUGCAAAGACGACGCCGAGGAGUGGACUUACCCUAUGAGACGAGAGAUGCAGGAAGUUUUGCCUGGAUUGUUCUUAGGCCCAUACUCUUCUGCUAUGAAAAGCAAGAUAUUUAGUUUUGGAUAUUGCUGAUAAUCCAGUUGAAAACAUAAUACGUUUUUUCCCUAUGACUAAAGAGUUUAUUGAUGGAAGCUUACAAAAUGGAGGAAAAGUUCUUGUCCAUGGGAAUGCAGGUAUCUCUAGAAGUGCUGCCUUUGUCAUUGCAUACAUCAUGGAGACGUUUGGGAUGAAAUACAGAGAUGCAUUUGCUUAUGUCCAAGAAAGGAGAUUUUGUAUUAAUCCUAAUGCUGGAUUUGUCCACCAACUUCAGGAAUAUGAAGCCAUCUACUUAGCAAAAUUAACAAUACAGAUGAUGUCACCACUCCAAAUAGAAAGGUCCUUAGCUGUUCAUUCUGGUACCACAGGUAGUGUGAAGAGAACACAUGAGGAAGAUGACGACUUUGGAAACAUGCAAGUGGCAACCGCACAGAACGGCUGACCUGUGAGGACUGUUACAUGGGUGUGAGCUUCCAUCUGGAAAGGAGAGGAUCCUAGUGAUGAUAAUGUGAAAUGGUAAACUCACAAAUACUUUCUUUUCAAUUAUACAUUGCUUCCAGACAUGUUUCUCUGCAACACUUUAAGAUGUUGGACUUAUGCAGUAGAUGGCACUGAUGGGUGAUGGGUUUACUU